CGCGUAGGCGGUUUUUUAAGUCAGAUGUGUAAUCCCCGAGCUUAACUUGGGAACUGCAUCUGAGACUGGGAGGCUAGAGUACUGGAGAGGGUGGUGGAAUUCCUCGUGUAGCGGUGAAAUGCGUAGAGAUGAGGAGGAACACCAGUGGCGAAGGCGGCCACCUGGACAGUAACUGACGCUGAGGCGCGAAAGUGUGGGUAGCAAACAGGAUUAGAUACCCUGGUAGUCCACGCUGUAAACGAUGAACACUUGGUGUGGAGGGAGUUGACCCCUUCCGUGCCGGAGCUAACGCGUUAAGUGUUCCGCCUGGGGAGUACGGUCGCAAGGCUGAA
rnacentral:rRNA from 1 species